rnacentral:rRNA from 1 species
CAGAGAGAACCUAGUUCUCUGCUGACGACCGGCGCACGGGUGAGUAACGCGUACACGACCUACCUUCAAGAAGGGAAUAGCCCCGGGAAACUGGGAUUAAUGCCCUAUGUGAUUAUAGAGCUACAUGGUUUUAUAAUUAAAGUUCAGGCGCUUGAAGAUGGGUGUGCGNGCUAUUAGAUAGUUGGUGAGGUAACGGCUCACCAAGUCGACGAUAGCUAGGGGGCGUGAGAGCGUGACCCCCCACACGGGUACUGAGACACGGACCCGACUCCUACGGGAGGCAGCAGUAAGGAAUAUUGGACAAUGGGGGCAACCCUGAUCCAGCCAUCCCGCGUGCAGGAUGACGGCCCUAUGGGUUGUAAACUGCUUUUAUAAGAGAAGAACUCCCUCUAUUCAUAGAGGGCUGACGGUAUCUUAAGAAUAAGCACCGGCUAACUCCGUGCCAGCAGCCGCGGUAAUACGGAGGGUGCAAGCGUUAUCCGGAAUCACUGGGUUUAAAGGGUGCGUAGGUGGCUCAAUCAGUCAGAGGUGA